UACGUAGGGGGCGAGCGUUGUCCGGAUUUAUUGGGCGUAAAGGGCUCGUAGGCGGUUUGUCGCGUCGGGAGUGAAAACACGGGGCUUAACCCCGUGCCUGCUUCCGAUACGGGCAGACUAGAGGUAUGCAGGGGAGAACGGAAUUCCUGGUGUAGCGGUGAAAUGCGCAGAUAUCAGGAGGAACACCGGUGGCGAAGGCGGUUCUCUGGGCAUUACCUGACGCUGAGGAGCGAAAGUGUGGGGAGCGAACAAG
rnacentral:rRNA from 1 species